AGAGUUUGAUCCUGGCUCAGGACGAACGCUGGCGGCGUGCUUAACACAUGCAAGUCGAACGAGAAUCUGCUGAAGGAGGAUUCGUCCAACGGAAGUAGAGGAAAGUGGCGGACGGGUGAGUAACGCGUGAGGAACCUGCCUUGAAGAGGGGGACAACAGUUGGAAACGACUGCUAAUACCGCAUGAAGCAUAGGGGUCGCAUGAUUCUUAUGCCAAAGAUUUAUCGCUUCAAGAUGGCCUCGCGUCUGAUUAGCUAGUUGGCGGGGUAACGGCCCACCAAGGCGACGAUCAGUAGCCGGACUGAGAGGUUGAACGGCCACAUUGGGACUGAGAUACGGCCCAGACUCCUACGGGAGGCAGCAGUGGGGAAUAUUGGGCAAUGGGCGCAAGCCUGACCCAGCAACGCCGCGUGAAGGAAGAAGGCUUUCGGGUUGUAAACUUCUUUUAAGAGGGAAGAGCAGAAGACGGUACCUCUAGAAUAAGCCACGGCUAACUACGUGCCAGCAGCCGCGGUAAUACGUAGGUGGCAAGCGUUGUCCGGAUUUACUGGGUGUAAAGGGCGUGCAGCCGGGUCUGCAAGUCAGAUGUGAAAUCCAUGGGCUCAACCCAUGAACUGCAUUUGAAACUGUAGAUCUUGAGUGUCGGAGGGGCAAUCGGAAUUCCUAGUGUAGCGGUGAAAUGCGUAGAUAUUAGGAGGAACACCAGUGGCGAAGGCGGAUUGCUGGACGAUAACUGACGGUGAGGCGCGAAAGUGUGGGGAGCAAACAGGAUUAGAUACCCUGGUAGUCCACACUGUAAACGAUGAAUACUAGGUGUGCGGGGACUGACCCCCUGCGUGCCGCAGUAAACACA
rnacentral:rRNA from 1 species